CAUGCAGGCGGCCAUUCAAGUCUGACGUGAAAGCUCCUGGCUUAACUGGGAGAGGUCGUUGGAAACUGAGUGGCUUGAGGCAAUGAGAGGGGUGCGGAAUUCCAGGUGUAGUGGUGGAAUGCGUAGAUAUCUGGAGGAACAUCAGUGGCGAAAGCGGCACCCUGGCAUUGACCUGACGCUCAUAUGCGAAAGCGUGGGGAGCGAACG
rnacentral:rRNA from 1 species